rnacentral:rRNA from 1 species
AGUGAACGCUGGCGGUAGGCCUAACACAUGCAAGUCGAACGGCAGCACAGGAGAGCUUGCUCUCUGGGUGGCGAGUGGCGGACGGGUGAGGAAUACAUCGGAAUCUACUCUGUCGUGGGGGAUAACGUAGGGAAACUUACGCUAAUACCGCAUACGACCUACGGGUGAAAGCAGGGGACCUUCGGGCCUUGCGCGAUUGAAUGAGCCGAUGUCGGAUUAGCUAGUUGGCGGGGUAAAGGCCCACCAAGGCGACGAUCCGUAGCUGGUCUGAGAGGAUGAUCAGCCACACUGGAACUGAGACACGGUCCAGACGCCUACGGGAGGCAGCAGUGGGGAAUAUUGGACAAUGGGCGCAAGCCUGAUCCAGCCAUACCGCGUGGGUGAAGAAGGCCUUCGGGUUGUAAAGCCCUUUUGUUGGGAAAGAAAUCCAGCCGGUUAAUACCUGGUUGGGAUGACGGUACCCAAAGAAUAAGCACCGGCUAACUUCGUGCCAGCCGCCGCCGUAA